rnacentral:rRNA from 1 species
AACGAACGCUGGCGGCAUGCCUAACACAUGCAAGUCGAACGAAGCCUUCGGGCUUAGUGGCGCACGGGUGCGUAACGCGUGGGAACCUACCAUCAGGUUCGGAAUAACAGUUAGAAAUGACUGCUAAUACCGGAUAAUGUCUUCGGAUCAAAGAUUUAUCGCCUUUUGAUGGGCCCGCGUAAGAUUAGGUAGUUGGUGGGGUAAAGGCCUACCAAGCCGACGAUCUUUAGCUGGUCUGAGAGGAUGAUCAGCCACACUGGGACUGAGACACGGCCCAGACUCCUACGGGAGGCAGCAGUGGGGAAUAUUGGACAAUGGGCGAAAGCCUGAUCCAGCAAUGCCGCGUGAGUGAUGAAGGCCUUAGGGUUGUAAAGCUCUUUUACUGGGGAUGAUAAUGACAGUACCCAGAGAAUAAGCUCCGGCUAACUCCGUGCCAGC